UACGGGGGAUGCAAGCGUUAUCCGGAUUUAUUGGGUUUAAAGGGUGCGUAGGCUGUGAGGUAAGUCAGCGGUGAAAUGCCCCCGCUCAACGGGGUGAAGUGCCAUUGAUACUGCCUUGCUGGAAUGCGGAUGCCGUGGGAGGAAUGUGUGGUGUAGCGGUGAAAUGCAUAGAUAUCACACAGAACACCGAUUGCGAAGGCAUCUCACGAAUCCGCUAGUGACGCUGAUGCACGAAAGCGUGGGUAUCAAACAGG
rnacentral:rRNA from 1 species